rnacentral:rRNA from 1 species
GACGAAGGCUGGCGGCGUGCCUAACACAUGCAAGUCGAACGGAGAUACGAUUUCGGUUGUAUCUUAGUGGCGAACGGGUGAGUAACGCGUGAGCAACCUGACCCUUUAGAGGGGGAUAACACUUGGAAACAGGUGCUAAUACCGCAUAAGACCACGACCUGACAUCAGGAUGAGGUCAAAGGAGAAAUCCGCUAGAGGAGGGCUCGCGUCCCAUUAGAUAGAUGGCGGGGUAACGGCCCACCAUGUCGACGAUGGGUAGCCGAGCUGAGAGGCUGAUCGGCCACACUGGAACUGAGACACGGUCCAGACUCCUACGGGAGGCAGCAGUGGGGAAUAUUGGGCAAUGGGCGCAAGCCUGACCCAGCAACGCCGCGUGAGGGAAGAAGGGCCCUUCGGGUUGUAAACCUCUGUCCUUGGUGACGAAACAAAUAGACGGUAGCCAAGGAGGAAGCCCGGCUAACUACGUGCCAGCAGCCGCGGUAAU